rnacentral:rRNA from 1 species
AUGUUUCGAGAACAUCUACGUGCAAGUGCAAUGCUCCAAUGGUCGCGACAUUACCACGCCCUGCUCCCCCUCCACCCCGCCCCCGCCACCCGUGGCCCCCGCAAGGCGGUGGUGCCGGCCGUGACCUCCAGGUUCGACGCCGCCCUCGCCGCGCGCCUCGCGAGCCUGCUGCCGCUGCCGGCCUCCCCGCUCGCGGCGCUCGCCCGCCUCGCCGACCUCCUCGCCGCCACGCUCGCGGACGCCGUGCCCGCGCUCGCCGCCGGGCCCGGGGACGGGAAGAAGGACGCCGUCGCCGUCGCCGCGCACCUCGACGCCGGCGUCGCGCUCCUGGACGCCUCCAACGCCAUCGCCGCCCGCGUCGACCGCCUCCGCCGCCGCCGCCUGCUCUCCCGCCUCGCGCUCCACCUCGUCUCGUCGUCGCCCCCGAGCCCGUCGUCCCUCAGCCGCGCGCGCGCCGCCCUCGCCGACCGCGACAGCCGCGGUGUUCGGGCCCCUGCCCUGCCGGCGCUCCCUUCCAUCCCGUUCGUCGACCCGCCCCGCGGCGGCCGGGGACAGCAGCUCGCCGCCGCCGCGCGCGUCGUCCUCGCCGUCAACGCCGUGUCCUCCCUCGCCGCGACAGCCGCGGCCACCAUCCUCGGCGGCGCCAGCACCACCCUCAACUCCACCUUCCCCCAGGUCUCCGGCGACCUCCCGUGGGCGGAAUCCUUCAACGCGGUCUCCAGCCAGCUCUCCGCCCUCGCCAAAUCCGCCACCAGCAACGAGAUCGACGCCGCGGACGAGGCCGUGGGCAAGCUCGCGGAGGUCCUCGACGGCGUCAGCGAGGGCGCCGCCCCCGAGGAGGCGGCGCUGCGCGCGGCGACGCAGGAGGUGGAGAAGCGGACGGAGGAGCUGGCGGCGCGACUGGAGCGGGUGUCGGACGCCGUCAACGGCGUGUUCCGCGCGGCGCUGCGGCUCCGCAACGCCGAGCUGGGCAGCUUCAUGGCGGCGAAGCCCGCCGGCAAGGCGCCGCGCAGUAAGAAGUAG